rnacentral:misc_RNA from 1 species
UGCGAUCAGUAAUGUGAAUUGCAGAAUUCAGUGAAUCAUCGAAUCUUUGAACGCACCUUGCGCUCCUUGGUAUUCCUUGGAGCAUGCCUGUUUGAGUAUCAUGAAAUCUUCAAAGUAAAUCUUUUGUUAACUCAAUUGGUUUCUACUUUGGUAUUGGAGGUCUUUGCAGCUUCACACCUGCUCCUCUUUGUUCAUUAGCUGGAUCUCAGUGUUAUGCUUGGUUCCACUCGGCGUGAUAAGUUAUCUAUCGCUGAGGACACUGUAAAAGGUGGCCAAGGUAAAUGCAGAUGAACCGCUUCUAAUAGUCCAUUGACUUGGACAAUACUUUUAUGAUCUGAUCUCAAAUCAGGUAGGACUACCCGCUGAACUUAAGC